AGAGUUUGAUCAUGGCUCAGAACGAACGCUGGCGGCGUGGAUAAGACAUGCAAGUCGAACGGGACCAAGUCUGUAGUAAUACAAACUUGGUUCAGUGGCGCACGGGGGCGUAACACGUGAGCAAUCUGCCGGGAAGUGGGGGAUAGCUCGCCGAAAGGCGAAUUAAUACCGCAUGUGGCCAUUCUUCGAGUGGAGGAAAAGCCAAAGCAGCAAUGCGCUUCCUGAUGAGCUCGCGGCCUAUCAGCUCGAUGGCGGGGUAAUGGCCCACCAUGGCUUUGACGGGUAGCUGGUCUGAGAGGACGACCAGCCACACUGGAACUGAGACACGGUCCAGACACCUACGGGUGGCAGCAGUCGAGAAUUUUUCACAAUGGGGGAAACCCUGAUGGAGCGACGCCGCGUGGAGGAUGAAGGCCUUCGGGUUGUAAACUCCUGUCAUGCGGGAACAAGCAAGUGAUAGUACCGCAAGAGGAAGAGACGGCUAACUCUGUGCCAGCAGCCGCGGUAAUACAGAGGUCUCAAGCGUUGUUCGGAUUCAUUGGGCGUAAAGGGUGCGUAGGUGGUGAUGCAAGUCUGGUGUGAAAUCUCGGAGCUCAACUCCGAAAUUGCACCGGAUACUGCGUGACUCGAGGACUGUAGAGGAGAUCGGAAUUCACGGUGUAGCAGUGAAAUGCGUAGAUAUCGUGAGGAAGACCAGUUGCGAAGGCGGAUCUCUGGGCAGUUCCUGACACUGAGGCACGAAGGCCAGGGGAGCAAACGGGAUUAGAUACCCCCGUAGUCC
rnacentral:rRNA from 1 species